GAUGAACGCUGGCGGCGUGCUUAACACAUGCAAGUCGAACGAAGCGUCCCGCCCGAUGAAAUGGAGAGCUUGCUCAAAGUAGAAUCAAUUGGGAUGACUUAGUGGCGGACGGGUGAGUAACGCGUGGGUAACCUGCCUUACACAGGGGGACAACAGUUGGAAACGACUGCUAAUACCGCAUAAGCGCACGGUAUCGCAUGAUAUAGUGUGAAAAACUCCGGUGGUAUGAGAUGGGCCCGCGUCAGAUUAGCUAGUUGGUAAGGUAACGGCUUACCAAGGCGACGAUCUGUAGCCGGACUGAGAGGUCGGACGGCCACAUUGGGACUGAGACACGGCCCAAACUCC
rnacentral:rRNA from 1 species